UACGGAGGGGGCUAGCGUUGUUCGGAAUUACUGGGCGUAAAGCGCACGUAGGCGGCUUUGUAAGUUAGAGGUGAAAGCCCGGGGCUCAACCCCGGAAUUGCCUUUAAGACUGCAUCGCUAGAAUUGUGGAGAGGUAAGUGGAAUUCCGAGUGUAGAGGUGAAAUUCGUAGAUAUUCGGAAGAACACCAGUGGGCGAAGGGCACUCUACUGGGCC
rnacentral:rRNA from 1 species